GUUUUGGUAGCUCAGGUGGUUAUAGAGCCCCGUGUUUAUAACGGGAAUGUCAUGAGUUCAAUUCUCAUCCAAGGCC
rnacentral:tRNA from 1 species